rnacentral:rRNA from 1 species
GACGAACGCUGGCGGCGUGCUUAACACAUGCAAGUCGAACGGAAAGGCCCUGCUUUUGUGGGGUGCUCGAGUGGCGAACGGGUGAGUAACACGUGAGUAACCUGCCCUUGACUUUGGGAUAACUUCAGGAAACUGGGGCUAAUACCGGAUAGGAGCUCCUGCUGCAUGGUGGGGGUUGGAAAGUUUCGGCGGUUGGGGAUGGACUCGCGGCUUAUCAGCUUGUUGGUGGGGUAGUGGCUUACCAAGGCUUUGACGGGUAGCCGGCCUGAGAGGGUGACCGGCAAGAUGGGGACUGAGAUGCGCCCCAGCCGGCGGGGGGAGGCAGCAGGGGGGAAUAGUGCGCAGUGGCGGGAAGCCGGGUGCGCCAGCGCGCCGUGGGGGGUGAGGGCCUUCGGGUUGUAAACCAGUUCCGCCUGGGACGAGGCGGGGGUGACGGUAGGGGGAAAAGAAGCACCGGCUAACUACGUG